CGUAUGGUGCAAGCGUUAUCCGGAUUUACUGGGUGUAAAGGGAGCGUAGGUGGCAAGGCAAGCCAGAAGUGAAACCCGGGGCUCAACCGCGGGAUUGCUUUUGGAACUGUCAUGCUAGAGUGCAGGAGGGUGAGCGGAAUUCCUAGUGUAACGGUGAAAUGCGUAGAUAUUAGGAGGAACACCGGAGGCGAAGGCGGCUCACUGGACUGUAACUGACACUGAGGCUCGAAAAGCGUGGGGAGCAAACAGGAUU
rnacentral:rRNA from 1 species